CCGGCACGGGUGGAGUAACACGUAUCCAACCUGCCGUCUACUCUUGGACAGCCUUCUGAAGGAAGAUUAAUACAAGAUGGCAUCAUGAGUCCGCAUGUUCACAUGAUUAAAGGUAUUCCGGUAGACGAUGGGGAUGCGUUCCAUUAGAUAGUAGGCGGGGUAACGGCCCACCUAGUCUUCGAUGGAUAGGGGUUCUGAGAGGAAGGUCCCCCACAUUGGAACUGAGACACGGUCCAA
rnacentral:rRNA from 1 species